rnacentral:rRNA from 1 species
CCUACGGGGUGCAGCAGUGGGGAAUAUUGCACAAUGGGCGCAAGCCUGAUGCAGCCAUGCCGCGUGUACGAAGAAGGCCUUCGGGUUGUAAAGUACUUUCAGCGGGGAGGAAGGUGUUGUGGUUAAUAACCACAGCAAUUGACGUUACCCGCAGAAGAAGCACCGGCUAACUCCGUGCCAGCAGCCGCGGUAAUACGGAGGGUGCAAGCGGUAAUCGGAAUUACUGGGCGUAAAGCGCACGCAGGCGGUCUGUCAAGUCGGAUGUGAAAUUCCCGGGCUCAACCUGGGAACUGCAUUCGAAACUGGCAGGCUAGAGUCUUGUAGAGGGGGGUAGAAUUCCAGGUGUAGCGGUGAAAUGCGUAGAGAUCUGGAGGAAUACCGGUGGGGAAGGCGGCCCCCUGGACAAAGACUGACGCUCAGGUGCGAAAGUGUGGGGAGCGAACAGGAUUAGAUACCCUUGUAGUC